rnacentral:tRNA from 1 species
UCCCUGAUAGCUCAGUUGGUAAAGAAUCUGCCUGCAAUGCAGGAGACCUAGGUUUGAUCCCUGGGUUGGGAA